UAACGCGUGAGCAAUCUGCCUUUAAGAGGGGAGUAACAGUCGGAAACGGCUGCUAAUACCGCAUAAAGCAUCGAAACCGCAUGAUUUUGAUGCCAAAGGAGCAAUCCGCUUUUAGAUGAGCUCGCGUCUGAUUAGCUGGUUGGCGGGGUAACGGCCCACCAAGGCGACGAUCAGUAGCCGGACUGAGAGGUUGAACGGCCACAUUGGGACUGAGACACGGCCCAG
rnacentral:rRNA from 1 species